rnacentral:rRNA from 1 species
AUUGAACGCUGGCGGCAGGCCUAACACAUGCAAGUCGAGCGGAUGAAGGGAGCUUGCUCCUGGAUUCAGCGGCGGACGGGUGAGUAAUGCCUAGGAAUCUGCCUGGUAGUGGGGGAUAACGUCCGGAAACGGGCGCUAAUACCGCAUACGUCCUGAGGGAGAAAGUGGGGGAUCUUCGGACCUCACGCUAUCAGAUGAGCCUAGGUCGGAUUAGCUAGUUGGUGGGGUAAAGGCCUACCAAGGCGACGAUCCGUAACUGGGCUGAGAGGAUGAUCAGUCACACUGGAACUGAGACACGGUCCAGACUCCUACGGGAGGCAGCAGUGGGGAAUAUUGGACAAUGGGCGAAAGCCUGAUCCAGCCACGCCGCGUGUGUGAAGAAGGUCUUCGGAUUGUAAAGCACUUUAAGUUGGGAGGAAGGGCAGUAAGUUAAUACCUUGCUGUUUUGACGUUACCAACAGAAUAAGCACCGGCUAACUUCGUG